rnacentral:rRNA from 1 species
UACGGGGGGGGCAAGCGUUGUUCGGAAUUACUGGGCGUAAAGGGCUCGUAGGUGGCCAACUAAGUCAGACGUGAAAUCCCUCGGCUUAACCGGGGAACUGCGUCUGAUACUGGAUGGCUGGAGUUUGGGAGAGGGAUGCGGAAUUCCAGGUGUAGCGGUGAAAUGCGUAGAUAUCUGGAGGAACACCGGUGGCGAAGGCGACUACCUGGCCUGUUCUUGACGCUGAGGCGCGAAAGCUAGGGGAGCAAACGGG